rnacentral:rRNA from 1 species
CAGUGAUAAACUGGAGGAAGGUGGGGAUGACGUCAAGUCAUCAUGGCCCUUACGACCAGGGCUACACACGUGCUACAAUGGCGCAUACAAAGAGAAGCGACCUCGCGAGAGCAAGCGGACCUCAUAAAGUGCGUCGUAGUCCGGAUUGGAGUCUGCAACUCGACUCCAUGAAGUCGGAAUCGCUAGUAAUCGUGGAUCAGAAUGCCACGGUGAAUACGUUCCCGGGCCUUGUACACACCGCCCGUCACACCAUGGGAGUGGGUUG